AAAUUAUUUCAAGGUAUGCAAUCUAGACAUCUUUAUUUCUCUGAACGCCGUCGUUCAUGAAAAGUCUGCAUUUUUUGGUAAAUUUAGCACUUUUAAAUCAGUUUUAUCAGAAUUUCAAAAGGUACGACUUAGAUAAUUACAGAGGUAUCACUUUGUCAUCAAAUGUAUAUACACUUUUUUCGAAGACUUUGGAAAUACAUAUCGUGAACUUCCUCGAACACAAAGUAUUUGGGGAAAACCAUGGCGCUUUUCGAAAGGAUCGACGCAUUGAAGAUCAAAUAUUUGCUUUACAAGGUAUUUGUGCUUUGUCACGCUCUUCUAAAAGACCCCUUUACUUAGCCUUUUUGGAUUUAUCAAAGGCGUUUGAUAGGGUAUGGCGCGAUGGGCUUUUUGUUAAAUUAUGGCAAAGUGGG
rnacentral:lncRNA from 1 species